CUACGGGAGGCUGCAGUGAGGAAUAUUGCACAAUGGGGGGAACCCUGAUGCAGCAACGCCGCGUGGAGGAUGACGCAUUUCGGUGUGUAAACUCCUUUUAUAUGUCAAGAAAAUGACGGUAGCAUAUGAAUAAGCGCCGGCUAACUCCGUGCCAGCAGCCGCGGUAAUACGGAGGGCGCAAGCGUUACUCGGAAUCACUGGGCGUAAAGGACGCGUAGGCGGGUUGAAAAGUCAGGUGUGAAAGCCUACAGCUUAACUGUAGAACUGCACUUGAAACUCUCAACCUAGAGUAUGGGAGGGGCAGAUGGAAUUAGUGGUGUAGGGGUAAAAUCCGUAGAUAUCACUAGGAAUACCUAAAGCGAAGGCGAUCUGCUGGAACAUUACUGACGCUAAGGCGUGAAAGCAUGGGGAGCAAACAGGAUUAGAUACCCCGUAGUC
rnacentral:rRNA from 1 species